CUACGGGCGGCUCCAGUGAGGAAUAUUGGUCAAUGGGCGAAAGCCUGAACCAGCAACGCCGCGUGAGGGAAGAAGCUCUAAGGAGUGUAAACCUCUGUUCAGAGGGACGAAUGGUUUCGAUUGUCUCGAGAUUUGACGGUACCUCUGGAGAAAGCCCCGGCUAACUCCGUGCCAGCAGCCGCGGUAAUACGGGGGGGGCAAGCGUUGUCCGGAAUUAUUGGGCGUAAAGGGCGUGUAGGCGGGAUAGUAAGUCAGUGGUGUAAUCUUAGGGCUUAACUCUAAGUCUGCCUCUGAAACUGCUGUUCUUGAGUGCGAAAGAGGGAAGCGGAAUUCCCGGUGUAGCGGUGAAAUGCGUAGAUAUCGGGAAGAACACCUGUAGCGAAGGCGGCUUCCUGGUUCGCUACUGACGCUGAUGCGCGAAAGCAUGGGGAGCAAACAGGAUUAGAUACCCGCGUAGUC
rnacentral:rRNA from 1 species